CAAAAAGCAUUCAGGAAUAGUAAAUUUUUUUGAGAUGAGGGCAGAGCAUAAAGUUAGCCUUGCCUCAGUGAGACUGUGCAAUGCCAUGUGGUUACUGGAGCAAGGGUAUUCUUCAUCAUCUGUGGCAAUGAGAACCUCACUCCCUGCAGGAAUAUAGAUGCAUCGAAGUGCAGAGAGAUCCAGUGAAGCACCAUCAGCCACCCCAGCUACAACAGAACUCAUUUCUUCUAUAUAACAGAACAGGAAGGCUCCCAGGUCUCUUCACAAAAGCAAAGGAGAAAGUUGACAGGUGGAGUUAUAGUGGCCAUUAUGACUUCUUCCAGCAUGGUUCCAUCUAUUGUGACUAUUGGAGGAGGCCAGAGGUGAAGAGGGAAAGCAGUCAGAUAGGACCAACAUUUGAUAAAGCAGUAGAAAUGGAGCAUCUGCAAGCAGAGUUUCAUCAUCUAGAAAUCUGUGUGCUGGACUCAGAAAGAAAAGGAAAGAAAAGAAAGAAGAAAGAACGAAAGAAAAAGAAAAGAAAGAAAGAAAGAAGAAAGAAAGGAAGGAAGAAAGGAAGGAAAAAGAGAGAGAGAGAAACGGUUGAAAAUUGGGUGGACGUGUGGACAAUUCACAGAUUUGUGCAGACUCUGAAGAUCCUCAUCUUUCUCUCUUCCCAGCCUGAAUCUGGGAGGAUCCGAAGGGGAAAUCUAAUGAAAAUAGUUAGGCAAGCAUAUAUAUUUGGUUCAAUCAGAAAGAAUUAGAAGACUUCUUCUAAAUGUUAG
rnacentral:lncRNA from 1 species